UCGUGCUAGACGGGGGGUCGGCGGUCCCCUGUAACCCGAAACCCGCCCAUGCGGGGUUGAAAAGGCAUCAUGAGACCUGGUCAGGGCGAACCAGGCCAGAGGUGCGGGACGGCUGUGAAGGUCGGGUCUCGCGAUGGCGACCACCGCCAACCCCGCCAGGACCGGAAGGUAGCAACGGUACGCGGACCGGCCGCCAGUCGCGAGGGCGCCUGGCCGGAGCCUGCUCCCCUCUGACCCUCUCCCUGCCAGGACGAAGAUGCCGCACGA
rnacentral:SRP_RNA from 1 species